rnacentral:rRNA from 1 species
ACUAAUCCUAGCCCUAGCCCUACACAAAUAUAAUUAUACUAUUAUAUAAAUCAAAACAUUUAUCCUACUAAAAGUAUUGGAGAAAGAAAUUCGUACAUCUAGGAGCUAUAGAACUAGUACCGCAAGGGAAAGAUGAAAGACUAAUUAAAAGUAAGAACAAGCAAAGAUUAAACCUUGUACCUUUUGCAUAAUGAACUAACUAGAAAACUUCUAACUAAAAGAAUUACAGCUAGAAACCCCGAAACCAAACGAGCUACCUAAAAACAAUUUUAUGAAUCAACUCGUCUAUGUGGCAAAAUAGUGAGAAGAUUUUUAGGUAGAGGUGAAAAGCCUAACGAGCUUGGUGAUAGCUGGUUACCCAAAAAAUGAAUUUAAGUUCAAUUUUAAACUUGCUAAAAAAACAACAAAAUCAAAAAGUAAGUUUAGAUUAUAGCCAAAAGAGGGACAGCUCUUCUGGAACGGAAAAAACCUUUAAUAGUGAAUAAUUAACAAAACAGCUUUUAACCAUUGUAGGCCUAAAAGCAGCCACCAAUAAAGAAAGCGUUCAAGCUCAACAUAAAAUUUCAAUUAAUUCCAUAAUUUACACCAACUUCCUAAACUUAAAAUUGGGUUAAUCUAUAACUUUAUAGAUGCAACACUGUUAGUAUGAGUAACAAGAAUUCCAAUUCUCCAGGCAUACGCGUAUAACAACUCGGAUAACCAUUGUUAGUUAAUCAGACUAUAGGCAAUAAUCACACUAUAAAUAAUCCACCUAUAACUUCUCUGUUAACCCAACACCGGAAUGCCUAAAGGAAAGAUCCAAAAAGAUAAAAGGAACUCGGCAAACAAGAACCCCGCCUGUUUACCAAAAACAUCACCUCUAGCAUUACAAGUAUUAGAGGCACUGCCUGCCCAGUGACUAAAGUUUAACGGCCGCGGUAUCCUGACCGUGCAAAGGUAGCAUAAUCACUUGUUCCUUAAUUAGGGACUAGCAUGAACGGCUAAACGAGGGUCCAACUGUCUCUUAUCUUUAAUCAGUGAAAUUGACCUUUCAGUGAAGAGGCUGAAAUAUAAUAAUAAGACGAGAAGACCCUAUGGAGCUUAAAUUAUAUAACUUAUCUAUUUAAUUUAUUAAACCUAAUGGCCCAAAAACUAUAGUAUAAGUUUGAAAUUUCGGUUGGGGCGACCUCGGAGAAUAAAAAAUCCUCCGAAUGAUUAUAACCUAGACUUACAAGUCAAAGUAAAAUCAACAUAUCUUAUUGACCCAGAUAUAUUUUGAUCAACGGACCAAGUUACCCUAGGGAUAACAGCGCAAUCCUAUUUAAGAGUUCAUAUCGACAAUUAGGGUUUACGACCUCGAUGUUGGAUCAGGACAUCCCAAUGGUGUAGAAGCUAUUAAUGGUUCGUUUGUUCAACGAUUAAAGUCCUACGUGAUCUGAGUUCAGACCGGAGCAAUCCAGGUCGGUUUCUAUCUAUUUACGAUUUCUCCCAGUACGAAAGGACAAGAGAAAUAGAGCCACCUUACAAAUAAGCGCUCUCAACUUAAUUUAUGAAUAAAAUCUAAAUAAAAUAUAUACGUACACCCUCUAACCUAGAGAAGGUU